rnacentral:rRNA from 1 species
GACGAACGCUGGCGGCGUGCUUAACACAUGCCAGUCGAACGGAAAGGCCUGCUUUCCCUUGUGGAUUGCGGGUACUCGAGUGGCGAACGGGUGAGUAACACGUGAGUGAUCUGCCCCCAACUUGGGUAUAAGCCUGGGAAACUGGGUCUAAUUCCCGAUAGGACUGCAGGGUGGUGCCUGUGGUGGAAAACGAUUUUCUAGUGGUUGGGGAUGAGCUCGCGGCCUAUCGGCUUGUUGGUGGGGUAAUGGCCUACCAAGGCGGCGACGGGUAGCCGGCCUGGGAGGGUGGACGGCCACAUUGGGACUGCGAUACGGCCCAGACUCCUACGGGAGGCAGCAGUGGGGAAUAUUGCACAAUGGGCGGAAGCCUGAUGCAGCGACGCCGCGUGGGGGAUGACGGCCUUCGGGUUGUAAACUCCUUUCGACCGCGAGGAAGCCACCUGGUUGGAAGGGUGGUGACGGUAGUGGGAGAAGAAGCACCGGCUAACUACGUG